ensembl:lncRNA
UGCUAAUAUUUCUGUACAACAUCUAAUUAUGUUUCCAUGUGAUAACAGUAGCCUAAUAUAUUCAAUAUGCUGCAAACUAUUGGUUUAUUAAAACAGUUUCACUCGAUUCAUUCUAAUCAACCUAAUAGUGAUGACACGCCCCUCGCUGUUGUCAUUGGUUGCUCUAAUAGUGAUGACACGCCCCUCGCUGUUGUCAUUGGUUGCUCUAAUAGUGAUGACACGCCCCUCACUGUUGUCAUUGGUUGCUCUAAUACUGACAUACCCCUCACUGUUGUCAUUGGUUGCUCUAAUAGUUAUGACACGCCCCUCACUGUUGUCAUUGGUUGCUCUAAUACUAAUGACAUACUCCUCACUGUUGUCAUUGGUUGCUCUAAUACUAAUGACAUACUCCUCACUGUUGUCAUUGGUUGCUCUAAUACUAAUGACAUGCCCCUCACUGUUGUCAUUGGUUGCUGUAAUACUAAUGACAUACCCCCUCUGUUGUCAUUGGUUGCUGUAAUACUAAUGACAUACCCCCCACUGUUGUCAUUGGUUGCUCUAAUACUAAUGACAUGCCCCUCACUGUUGUCAUUGGUUGCUCUAAUACUAAUGACAUGCCCCUCACUGUUGUCAUUGGUUGCUCUAAUUUCCUUGUUUGUCAACAUAACCUGGUUCCAGCAUUCAUGACAUCACCCUGAAGAAGAAAAAGUGAUGCUGAAAUGUUGCUGUUGCUGGAUUAAAUACAUUAUUUUCCUCAUCAAUUCUACACACAAAAACCCAUAAUGACAAAGUGAAAACAGAAAUGCUUGCAAAUGUAUUAAAAAAAACAGAUACCUUAUUUACAUAAAUAUUCAGACCCUUUGCUAUGACACUCAACAUUGAGCUCAGGUGCAUCUUGUUUCCAUUGAUCAUCCUUGAGAUGUUUCAACAACUUGAUUGAAGCCCAGCUGUGGUAAAUUCAAAUAGAUGGACAUGAUUUGGAAAGAUACACACCCGUCUAUAUAAGGUCCCACAGUUGACAGUGCGUGUCAGAGCAAAAACCAAGCCAUGAGGUCAAAGGAAGUGUCUGUAGAGCUCAGAGACAGGAUUGUGUCGAGGCACAGAUCUGGGGAAGGGUACCAAAAUAAUUAUUGAACGGAGGAAGUUUGGAACCACCAAGGCUUUUCCUAGAACUGUCCGCCUGGCUAAACUGAGCCAAUGGGGGAGAAGGGUGUUGGUCAGGGAGGUGACCAAGAACCAGAUGGUCACUCAAAGAGCUCCAGAGUUCCUCUGUGGAGAUGGGAGAACCUUCAAGAAGGACAACCAUCUCUGCAGCACUCCACCAAUCUGGCCUUUAUGGUAGAGUGGUCAGACGGAAGCCACUCCUCAGUGAAAGGCACAUGACAGCCCGCUUGGAGUUUGCCUAAAUGCACCUAAAGGACUCUCAGACCAUGAGAAACUAGAUUCUCUGGUCUGAUGAAACCAAGAUUGAACUCUUUGGCCUGAAUGCCAAGCGUCACAUCUGGAGGAAACCUGGCACCAUCCCUACUACGGUGAAGCAUAGUGGUGGCAGCAUUAUGCAGUGGGGAUGUUUUUCAGCAGCAGGGACUGUUCCACAUUGACUUGGUAUUUUACCAAAUAGGGCUAUCUUCUGUAUACCACCCCUACCUUGUCACAACACAACUGAUGGGCUCAAACUAAAUAACAAAUUAACUUUUAACAAGGCACACUUGUUAAUUGAAAUGCAUUCCAGGUGACUACCUCAUGAAGCUGGUUGAGAGAAUGCCAAGAGUGUGCAAAGCUGUCAUCAAGGUAAAGGGUGGCUACUUUGAAGAAUCUCAAAUAUAAAAUAUAUUUUGACUUGUUUAACACUUUUUUUUGGUUACUACAUGAUUCCAUAUGUGUUAUUUCAUAGUUUUGAUGUCUUCACUAUUAUUCUACAAUGUAGAACAUAGUAAAAAUUAAGAAAAACCCUUCAAUGAGUAGGUGUGUCCAAAUUUUUGACUGGUGCUAUAUAUAUGUUUAUGAGUGGGAGACUAUUUUAAUAACCGGUAAGUCGUAUGCAAAUCAUAUAUUAUUGGUGUUUUGAGUCCUCUGACAAUUCUAGCAAAAGCUUGUGUAUUCAUGGGGCUGUAGGUGAGCAGAUGGCUGUGUCAUGUCUGUCCAGGUGAGCUCUCAGCACACCAGUAGCUCCAACAUGUUAACUGAUUGGCAGAUCAUUUGACUGGAGAGUUCUCUUCCUAGCUUUUUAUAAGUGAGUUGUGAUUUGCAUCCCAAGUGGCACCCUAUUCUCUACAUAGUGCACUACUUUUGAUCAGAGUUUGCACCCUAUUCCCUAUGUAGUGCACUACUUUUGACCAGAGUGCUAUGGGAAUAGGGUGCCAUUUCAGAAGCAGACAGUGACUAACACACCUGUAAAUACCACAUGUAUGUUUGAUAGGAAGUGUGACUUCAGACUCAGAGAAGCUAAACCAGUCCUUAUCUCUCCCCUCCAGACCGAUGAGGGGGUCUUCAGGAGGUAGCAAGGAAGGGAACAGUGCACUGAGCUGGGGUAUUAGGCUCUGCAUCGCCCCCCCCCUGGGAGCAACAGACUAUGGAGAGUCUGAGACGGAUGCUUCAGUGAGAAAGCACUGGGGCUGGGUUUAAGGGACCUGAGCCCUAGGACCAUGCCCCAGGACUACCUGACAUGAUGACUCCUUGCUGUCCCCAGUCCACCUGGCCAUGCUGCUGUUCCAGUUUCAACUGACCUGAGCCCUAGGACCAUGCCCCAGGACUACCUGACAUGAUGACUCCUUGCUGUCCC